rnacentral:rRNA from 1 species
GAUGAACGCUGGCGGCGUGCCUAAUACAUGCAAGUCGAGCGAACAGACGAGGAGCUUGCUCCUUCGACGUUAGCGGCGGACGGGUGAGUAACACGUAGGUAACCUACCUAUAAGACUGGGAUAACUUCGGGAAACCGGAGCUAAUACCGGAUAAUAUUUCGAACCGCAUGGUUCGAUAGUGAAAGAUGGCUUUGCUAUCACUUAUAGAUGGACCUGCGCCGUAUUAGCUAGUUGGUAAGGUAACGGCUUACCAAGGCAACGAUACGUAGCCGACCUGAGAGGGUGAUAGGCCACACUGGAACUGAGACACGGUCCAGACUCCUACGGGAGGCAGCAGUAGGGAAUCUUCCGCAAUGGGCGAAAGCCUGACGGAGCAACGCCGCGUGAGUGAAGAAGGUCUUCGGAUCGUAAAACUCUGUUAUUAGGGAAGAACAAACGUGUAAGUAACUGUGCACGUCUUGACGGUACCUAAUCAGAAAGCCACGGCUAACUACGUG